AGAUGAAUGAACACAGUCUCUGGCAAAAUGGUGACUUUGCUUUUUAACACCGUCGAACUGCCAAAAUAUUUUCCACAUGAGUUGCACCAUGUUGCAUUCCUACCUGCAAAGUAUGGGAGUUUCACUCUCUUCAGAUCAUCACCAACCAUUGUUAUUUUCUGUUAUAGUUUUUGACAUGGCCAUCCCAACCCUUGAUGCUACUGUUUGGAAGUUUGAAUUCUCAAGAAUCAUGUUGAAAUUUGAGCUCCAAUGUUGAAGAUGAGGAAUAAGUGGAGAUGUUUGGGUAAUGGGGGCAAAACCCUCAUGAAUGGCUUGGUGUCAUGUUCAAGAUCCUUUGAGUUAUAGCAAUUUUAUUAUGUUCUUGCGAUGUGAUCUACUCUCUGCUGUGCUUCAUGACAGUCCUGGAUCUUUUCCUCAUGACCAAAGCAAUAUGUCAAGGAGUAAUUUUUUCAAUUGCUCCCAGAAAAUAGAUUCUGUCUGGACAUCAUUGGAAACAGUAUUUGUUUUACCAAAUCUUUGA
rnacentral:lncRNA from 13 species